UAACCGUCGUGACGGCCGCUCCGGUUCCUCAGGCAGCGUGUGCUUCUUUCGGCUACGGAGGGAUCUGCAGAAAACAGAAGAGCUUGAGAGGCAGAGGAUAGACCAUGCUCAGCUCUAACUGUAAACAUACUGUACUGGGUACCAAAGGAACGAAGCCUUGCUAACUGAAGGCUAUGUCAUAAAUAGGAGAUGCUGAUUAGAGGUUGUGAACCUGGUCCUCGUCUGCAAAUCAUUCCUCUUAACUGCUGAAGGCACUGGGUGAAGGGAGUCUGCUUUAUCGACUGUUUGGUACAGAACACUGCUGGCUGAAUAUUGUAUAUGAACAAGCGAGACAGACUGAAAUCUCAGAGAGCUCUUUCCUCGCAAAUGUCUCUGCGUGGCUUACAGGACGGAAUACGAGAAUAACCCAGCACAAGACAGUGUGAAAGGAAACCUGAAUCUAUUUACCAUUAAGAAGCCCCGGACUGAACUGA